CCAAUUUGACCUAACCUAAUUCCUACCAUUAUAAAAUAAUCCCUAACUCCUAAAAAAAAAAGAGGCCUAGACUACACAAAAAGAGCGACAACCUAUCUUCUUCAAAAACAACAAAAAUUCCCAAUUCCAAAAGAAGAAAAAAACGGCAGCCAUGAAUCUUUGAAUCUCCCAUAUCUACAUUUUAAGAAAAUGGUAGCACCCCUAAUUCAAGAGAGUCGACGGCCAUGACCUGUCAACUUUAGCAGCAAAGUCUCAUGUAUUAAUUUGAUUCUUAAAACAUUUUGAGAGAUUUUUUUUUCUGGUAAUUUUCUUUGGAUCUUCGAAAAGCAAUGAGAGAAGAAGAUAAAAGAGAAAUAAUUCAUUCAAUGUGAGAAGAAGACAAAGAAGAAAUAAUUCAGAAGCUGAUUAAAAUAGAGAAUGAAAUAUCAAGCAUUAAUGUGUUUAGAAAUUCAGUGAGAACAGAGGAAGUGAACGGAGGAGAUUUUUCUCGUUCUGAUUUCGGAUUCGAAUCCUUUUGAUUUUCAUGUCGAAUUCUGGCUUCUUCUGAUUUUCAAUUCGGAUUCCUAUCUGAGGUGUUAGUCGAGGUCGAGUUCAUUGGUUCAAGUCCAUGUAGCGAUUUGUUGCUGUUUUCAUUCAAAUUUUCAUUGCCGUAUUCAUGUGUACAUGCUGAUUUUCACAUAGUAACAGAGUUGGCUUUAAUAGCCACGGUUUUGUUCUUUUUGCUUGUUUAACUGCUGAAUAUUUUGAGAAAUCGAAAUGUCUAUUUUAGUGAUUCUUGUACAACCAGGUAUUUAUUUUGUAUUUGAAGUAUUCAUAUGUUAGAUGUAAUCUGUUGCUUAUGGUGUUGAUUUGAUUUAGAGUUUUUUUCUUGUUUAAUUUUGUUGGGUAUGCUUUAAUUGUUUCGUAAAUUAGUUUACUAGUUUGGGUUGUUUACUUUGCUUUGUUUGAAAUUAGUCCAAGACCUCUAAAAAUUAGUUUUGAUGUAUUACUGUAUUCCCGGUUCAAUGUGCCACUGCAAAUGAGGAAUAUUUGGGAAUUCUAACAAAAUAUUUUGUUAGAAAGUAAACGUUUUCCAAGGUAUAACAUUGUUUGGAGUUUUUUUUAAAAGCUUCAGUUGUGUUUUAAAUUAGUGUGGACCAAAGAAUCGAUCGGGUCAGUAGCCAUAAUCUGAUUUUGGUUUGGUAAGUAUUCCAAGUUUGAUGGUUAUUCUAACUUUGGGGGUUAAUAAUGGCCAUGAAUAACGUGCUAUCCUAAUGUCCCUAUGUAUUCCAUAAUUAUAAUAAUCAAAUCUUAUACCCCUCCAAUAAUGUCAUAACCCAUGUUCUUACAAUAAUCUCAAAUUAGCUUUAAGAAUAUUAAUCCAUGAACACUCGUAGUUUGCUUUAGGCUCGACUUAGAUUAUUAUUGUGAUUAUGUAUACGUUCGCGUAACAUAAUCACAAAUUUAAUUCUAAAAAAGUAACUCGAGGGAUGCGUUCGCGCAACUUCAACCAAACUUUUCUUAAUAAAAUAAACAAAGCAUUAUUAAUUGUGGACACGUUCGCGUUACAUGAUUUUUGACACGCCAAAGGAAAAGAGUAUACUUACGCGUAACUCAAUUCUUUAAUUACGAAUAAUCAAGCAUUAAAAGCGGUGAAAGAUAAAUGCACAUAGGUCCUAAAAAUGAGUAGUUAAACAAUUUAAGCCAAGUAUAAAUCGCUAAGCGACCGUGCUAGAACCACGGAACUCGGGAAUGCCUAACACCUUCUCCCAGGUUAACAGAAGUCCUUACUUAGAAUUUCUGGUUCGCAGACUUUUAAAUAAAGUCGAAAACUUCCUCGAUUUGGGAUUUAAAAUAAACCGGUGACUUGAGACACCAAAUAAACUAUUCCAAGUGGCGACUCUGAUAAAUUAAAUAAUCCUAUUUCGAUUAGUGUCACUUUAAUAGGAAAACCUCCCAUAUACCCUUGGGGUAGUAAAAAGGAGGUGCGACAGUCACAAAAUAUCAGAACAGACAAGAUUGUUAUAGAGAGGUUUGACUGUAUUUAGAACUAUAUUUUACACAUUAAAUAAUAACGGAAAGGAGGAAAUAUGUAAUUGGGUAGCAUCAACUAAAAUAAUUACAUACGAAGGGUGCAGUCUAGUGGUCAAUAAAGCGUGCAAACUUUAGAGAAUAUGUUUCAAAUUUCAGUACAACAAAAAGUAUUGUAUGAUUUUGUUCAAUCUGCCUACAACUAAAAAUGAAAUGUAAUUUUUUGAUCAGUCGAUUGCUCUCACAGAAAAUUAGACUCCUUUAUCAAAAAUGACUUUUAUUAAUUAUAUAAAAAAUUCAAAGAUAAGAAUGUUAAAACAUAUUUUAAAUGCUUUAUAAGUUGCCAAUGAAAUGUCAAUUCUAUUCCCACUUACUUCUUUUUCUCUCUUUUUGACUGGGUGAAUGGAGGGGUUGGGGAAUACAUUAUGGAGCAAUGUCAUUGUCUAAAUAGUUCAUGUGAAUCUUUCUUGACCAGAAAUAAAUAUAACUUCUUAUCAAACAUUUAACUGUAGCUUUUGUUCUCAUCAAUGUUUCAUGAGCAAGAGAUUAAGGCCACUAGCUACUGCAUUUAUUUUUAAUUAUUUAAAAAAUAUUAAAGGGAUUUUUUAAUAUGAUUGAUGUGAAAAAUUAAUUCGUCGUUUAAAAACUCCAAAAUGCGAAAUACAAUUUAUAUUUCUCGAAAUUCGGAGAUACAAAUGCCAGUGAAAAAAAUUUGGAGUAGAUUGAUCUGACUCCAUGGACAUUUUGACGUAAAAGAAUUGUAAGAAUACUCAAGAAGAUAAAUAUAUUAGAAGGAAACUACAUUUAAAGCACAAUGUAUACGGUCGAAACCGGGCCCGCAUGUUGUGUGACCAAUCGAGACUAAAACGUGACAGGUUAAAGCUCGACCUCGAGUUAUAUCGAACUGAGGUGCGAAGUUAAAUCAUUGAGCCUGUGACCCCGGGAACGAACAAGAUCGAGAUCAAACAAGAUCGAGGGAAAAUCUCAGCACGUAUCAAGGAGAGGCCGAUUAAAUAGAAAAUCAUGAGAUUUUUUUACCUUGUAUAGAAUUUUUUCAAGAGUAGGACACCCCUACUAUAUAAAGGGGGAUCUGAUCAUUUGAAACAUACAUUUUAAUACGCAGCAAAAAAGUAAUACACUAUUAUUUCUAGCUCUUUUCAUCUUAUUAUGAUGUUCUUACAUCAGUUAAGUCAUUUCUUGAUUCGAGGGUGAUCGAACUCAAUGGACAAGGUUGUUCAAUUUGUAUGUUUUGCAUUUAUUCCUUUAUCAUCAAUUUCCAUAUUAAUCUGUUUUCUUAAUUUGUAUCAAGUUAUAUCACGUAUCCUUAAAAUAGCGUAUAAAUUUAAUUGUUAUCCGAUUUUAAGGGUAAACAGUUUGGAACCCACCGUGGGGCUAAGGAUAAUAGUGGUUACUUGGUAUAAACAUUCAUAACACACACUAUUUUAUACUUGUUCUUUGAAGUAUCUUUAAUUCCAGGUCUAAAAUGUCGAACUCUCAGUCGGCACCCCUUCACGUUGACAAUGAUUUUGUCUACCAUGGCGAGAAUGAUAAAAUUGCACCAGGGAAUGACGUACCCCUGGCCGAUCUCGAUAGAGUUCCGGCUGUAGAUCCAAUCGAUGCCAGCUCACAUGUAGCCAUCAAUGCAAAUUUGGCCGUCGAUCCUAUGGGUAGCAUCUAUAGGGAUGUUUGAUCGGCUGCUCAUAGCACAUAUGGAGGUGAAGAUGGUUGGAUCAACCUGCGGGGGAUCUUCAAAUUAUUGUAGGCUCAACAGGCAGCGAUAACCCAGCUCCAAAGCCAGUAUCACCCACCGAGCAAGAUUGAGCCUGAGUUGUCACAGGAAGUUUUCCACAUGGUCGAAUUGGUUUCAAGGAAAUUGAACGAGAAAGAAUCGGGGACCGAUCCUACAACAUUAAAGAUGCUCGAGGAACUGACAAAAUGAACUGAGUUAGGGGUAAGAAGAUCAAGGAAAACGACAAGAAGGUAGAAACCUACAACUCUAGGGUCAAUCAAAUCAUGGGGGCACCAUCGAUAUUGAAGGGUCUGGACUCCAAAAAAUUCGUGCAAAAACCUUUCCCCCCAGUGCGACUUCCAAGUUGAUCCCUAAGAAGUUCUGUAUGCCCGAGAUUCCUAAAUACAAUGGAAAGACUGAUCUGAACAAGUAUGUCACGUCUUACACAUGUGCUAUCAAAGAGAAUGAUCUACAGGAUGGCGAGAUCGAAUCUGUCUUGCUAAAGACAUUCGGAGAGACCCUGCCAAAGAGGGCUAUGAUAUGGAACCACAAUUUACCACCUAAUUCUAUUGACUCAUUUGCUAUGCUUGCAGAUUCUUUCAUAAAAACAAAUACCGGGGCCAUCAAGGCUGAAUCCAGGAAGUCAGACAUUUUCAAGGUAAGGCAGAAGGACAACAAAAUGCUUAGAAAAUUUGUGUCUCAAUUCCAAAUGGAACGGAUGGACCUACCACCGGUCACUGAUGACUGGGAUGUACAAGCUUUCACUCAAGGACUCAAUGUUCGAAGCUCGGUGGCUUCUUAGCAGUUGAAGCAUAAUUUGAUAGAAUAUCCAGCUGUUACUUAGGCCGAUGUGCAUAAUCGGUAUCAAUCGAAGAUCAGGGUCGAAGACGAUCAACUGGGAGCUCCUUCCGAGUCUGUUUAUACUAUCAGACCCGUCGAUAGAAUCAAGAGAGAUAUUGAUCAAGAAUCGAGAUUGAACAGAUAUCGAUACCAGCCAUAUAAUGGAGAUCAUAGGAGUAGCGGAUCUGGGCGAAAUUAUGCACGAAAUGAAAAGAGAAGUGAUUGAGGCUAGAGCUCUAGAGGGCUCAUGAGCAAGAACAGCUUCGACAGGCCUAUCGAACCUAAAUAAGCACCACGAUUAUCAGAAUACAACUUUAAUGUUGACGCAGUUGCCAUCAUAUUGGCUAUCACACGCAUCAAAGAUGCCAAAUGUCCUCGGCCUUUACACAUCGAUCCAACCCAAAGAGAUCCCAACCAAAUGUGCAAAUAUCAUGGGAAGAUUGUCGACAAUUGAUAGAAGAAGUAGCCCGAUCAUUCAACAACGGGCACUUUAGGGAGUUUCUGAGUGACUGAGCCAAAAUUCAUUUCAGAAACUAGGAUUCAAAUAAACAAAAUGAGCAAGAAGAACCUCAACACGUCAUUCAUAUGAUCAUUGGAGGGGUCGAUGUUCCUCAAGGUCCAAUGUUAAAGAGCACCAAAGUACCAAUCACGAGGGAGAAACAGACUCGAGAUUACAUACCAGAAGGAACUUUAUCUUUCAAUGACGAGGAUGCAGAAGGAAUCAUGCAGACCCAUAAUGAUGCACUGGUAAUAUCUGUACUCAUGAAUAAAACUCGAGUUAAACCUGUGUUAACUGAUCCAGGUAGCUCGACCAAUAUUAUUCGAUCGAGGGUCGUAGAAUAACUCGGCCUACAGGACUAAAUCGUGCAUCCAGCCCGAGUGCUAAACAAAUUCAACAUGGCUUGUGAAACUACUAAGGGAAAAAUAAUGUUAUCGGUAAACGCAGCCGGAACCAUCCAGGAGACCAAUUUUUAUGUUAUCAAAGGGGACAUAAGGUAUAACGCCCUGUUCGGGAGACCACGAAUCCACAACAUAAGGGUUGUGCCCUUGACCCUUCACCGGGUGUUAUCAAAGGGGACAUAGCUAACAUGGAUUGUUUUGCUUGGUCCCAUCUCACCGGAGAUCACCACUCACAAACUGAGCUUGGAUCCGAAAUUCCAUCUAGUCAAGCAGAAAAGGAGACCCCAGUCCGAGUUAAGCAUGCUUUCAUCAAGGACAAAGUAACUAGACUCCUUAAAAUAGGGUCCAUCCGGGAAGUCAAAUACACGAAUUGCUAGCAAAUGUAGUAGUAGUCCCUAAAAAGGGGAACAAACUGAGAAUAUGUGUGGAUUACAAACAUUUAAUUAAGGCAUUACCCAAUGACUCUUUCCCUUUGCCUAACAUCGAUCACAUGAUCAAUGCCACAACCAGCCACGAGAUCCUCAGCUUUCUCGAUGCCUACUCUGGGUACAACUAAAUACAAAUGAACCCGAAUGAUCAAGAAAAUACCUCCUUCAUCACUAAGUAUGGCACAUACUACUAUAACAUAAUGCCAUUUGGAUUAAAAAAUGUUGGUGUCACUUACCAACACCUAGUAAACCGGAUGUUCAAAGAACAAAUAUGGAAAUCUAUGGAAGUUUACAUUGAUAAUAUGUUAGUUAAGUCCCUGCGAGUAGAGGAGCAUUUAAAGCAUUUGCACGAAACCUUUAGUAUAUUGAAGAAGCACAACAUGAAGCAGAAUUCGGAAAAAUGCUCGUUCAGAGUCGAAUCAGAUAACUUUCUUGGGUUCAUGAUAUCCAAUCGAAGAAUUAAGAUCAACCCCGACAAGAUCAAAAUCUAGGAUAUCACGAUAGUGGACAACGUGAAGGCCAUGCAAAGGCUAUCUGGGCGCAUAGCCGCUAUGGGGAGAUUCAUCUCGAGGUCCUCCGAUAAGAGUCAUCGAUCUUUCUCGUUGCUGAAGAAGAAAAAUAACUUCACAUGGACUCCGAAAUGCCAACGGGCCUUGGAAGAACUUAAGCGAUAUUUAUCGAGCCCGUCACUGAUUCACACACUGAGGGAAGAUGAGAAACUUGUAUUUGGUAGUUUCAGAGAUAGCAUUAAGUGGAGCCCUAGUUCGGGAAAAACAAAGUACGCAAUUUCCAAUUUAUUAUGUUAGCCGGACCUUAGGUAAGGCCGAAACUAGAUAUCCUCACCUAGAAAAAUUGGCGCUCGCUUUGCUAAGCGCCUCAAGGAAACUGAAACUGUACUUUUAGUGCCGCCUUAUAUGUGUUGUGACAACUUGUCCAUCGCGAAAUAUGAUGCAUAAACCCAAACUCUAGGGGCAAUUGGCCAAAUGGGCUGUGGAAAUCAGCGAGUAUGAUAGUAAAUAUCAAUCCCACUCAAAUUUUGGCAGAUUUCAUGGCUGACUUCAAGAUGGCCCUAAUACCGGAGGUCGAAAGAGAGUUGUUGGUAAACGCGGGGACGUCUUUGGGAAUCUGGACUCUCUUCACGUACGGUGCAUCGAAUGCAAAAGGGUCUAGACUUGGCAUCGUACUGAAGUCGCCUACUUGUAAUAUAGUUAGACAGUCCAUUAGAACUGUGAAAUUGACUAACAACGAGGCCAAAUAUGAGGCCAUGAUUGUAGGUCUCGAACUAGACAUAAGCUUGGGGGCGGAGGUGAUCGAAGCUAAGUGCGACUUCCUCCUUGUGGUAAAUCAAGUUAACGGAACGUUCGAAGCAAAAGAAGAACGGAUGCAAAGUCACAUGGAUAAGUUGCAUGUAACAUUACAUUGAUUCAAUGAAUGGACUCUGGAGCACGUACAUCGAGAUCAAAAUGUGAGGCCAAUGCACUUGCAAACUUAGGCUCUUAGGUCGAGGACGACGAGCUCAACCUGGGGGCAGUAAUACAACUCAUAGGAUCGGUAGUAGAAAAAGGUCAUGCCGAAAUCAACUUCACAAGCCUAACUAGGGAUUGGAUAAAUAAAUACGUAGAGUAUUUGAAAACCGUGAAAUUACCCUCAGAUCCAAAAGAAUCGAGGGCCCUGUGCUCAAAGGUAGCCCGAUUCAGCUUGUCCGAGGAUGGAACCUUGUUCAGAAAAUUGUUUGAUGGCUCGCUAGCAAUAGUCUGGGACCGGGAGAUACUGAGUACAUUCUGAUAGAAGUCCAUUAGGGCACCUGCAGAAACCAUUCAGGCGUCGAAUCAUUGGUUUAAAAGAUAAUCAGAGCGUGCUAUUGUUAGAUCGAUAUGGAAAAAGAUGAGAAGGAGUUCGUAGGAAAAUAUGACAAAUGCCAAGACAUGCUCCGAUGAUUUAUCAACCCGGGGAACUGCUGCAUUUGGUCUUAUCACAAUGGCCAUUCAACAAGUGGGGAAUGGACAUUGUUGGCCCUCUUCCAUGGGCAUCAGGUAAGGCUCAAUUUAUCUUAUUUAUGACUGACUAUUUUUCUAAGUAGGUUGAAGCACAGGCGUAUGAGAAAGUCAGGGAGAAGGAAGUCAUCGACUUCAUUUGGGACCACAUUAUAUGUUGGUUCGAGAUGCCAUCCGAAAUUCUAUGUGACAACGAGAAACAAUUUAUCGACAACAAAGUGACUAAGUUUCUCGAAGAUCAUUAUCGCGCCCCUUUUUCUCGCCAAAUCGGAUUUCAACAUGUGACAACUCUUUUAGGGAAGGGUUUUAAAAGAGAGAGUCACUACCUAACAGAUUAAGGUGUGUUAGGGCACCUAUUUUGCUGAUAACUCUGUUUAACCAGUUUGCGUCACCAAAGAUCGGGUAAGGGCUCAAAAUUACCUCAAAAAGAAGGUGUUAGACACUCUUCGAGGUCUAUAACUGUGGGUCCCAACCUAGCUCAAUUAUAUGAAUUAGUCUUCUGUGAUUAGAACUAAGAGACAAAGGAUUCGGGAAGUUCAUUAAACACAAAUAAUUGAUGAAAGACAAGGUGUCGGGGGGGGGGGGGGGAGGGAUCCUAAAUGUUUUAGCCUAAAGAAUCACCCCGUGCAACAUAAAUAAUACUUCGUAACUCCCUCAAGAUGGAGUGUUACUCAUAUUAUUCAGUGGCACAGACUAUCAUCUCCUGAUACCCCAUUACUAUCUUUAAGUUAUUACCUUAAGCGCACUAGUUGAUUAUAAAUCGUACCCUAUGUGUGCACUACUCGUCCCAUGUCUAUGGUCUAGGAGGCUUUGGACCUCUAUUUAGGUAUUUCUAGACUUUAACAUAGGUUGCUCAAAAGGGAAAAUACUAAGCGACAGACAAAGUAGUUAGGACUUUCAUUUAUAAGCAAAUAAGGGCUCAAGUUGGCCUCCGCAAUUAGACAACAAAUGCACGCAAGUCAGAUUAACAAAGACAGUUGCUGAUUUUAAAUAGUUAAGAAGCCUAUAGGCAAGAUCUCUAUAUGAAUCUGGAUUUAUAUUGGCAGACAGUUAUGCACAAAGGCCGUUAUAUUUUCCAAAACCUGUAUGAUUUGCCUAUUGAUUUUAAACAUAAGGAAAUUGAACCUAUAAGCAUGAUAUCUAGGUGUUUUAUGCAAUAGUAGACAGUGGCAGGUUACAGAAACAGAUCCAGAAUUAUUUGUUGAAUCCUAUAAACAUUUUUUCUAGUGAGAGUAACAACGUAGUGUUCGGAAACUCAUGAACAAAUGGGUAGAAAUGAUAAUUAAACUGAUUCGAACCUAUAAGCAUGCUUUAUACAAUUAGAUUUGAUUUUAGAUCCUAUAGGCAUGAUUUCUAGUGAGGAUAACAAGAUAAUAAAUGAUUGAACAGAUUCAGACGUGCAUUCUAUAAUUUGAUCCAAUUUUAGAUCCUAUAGGCAUGAUUUCUAGAAUCUGAAUGAAACAGUAUGUAAGCAGGAUUUCAUACACAUAUUGGAUCACAUUGUUUCUAUAGGCAUGGUCUGUAACCGAAUAUAAUUGAACCAAACACUGAGACUAUGGACAUGGUUGCUAGCAUAUAAUGGCUAAACAUAAUAGGAUACCUAUAGGCAUGAUUUCUAACACACAACAUAGCAUUAAUACUAUAGGCAGGAUUUUUACCCCAGUUUAUAGCAAAUAUAAAAUACGAACCCUUUCCCAUUUUUAAUAAUACCCCAAAAUUGUUAUUAAAAAUAAUUAUUACAAACCAGAAUUUAAUGAAUGAAUUACAAUAUAAGUAAAACUAUAGGGGCCUACAGCAGGCCCAAAUAUACCUGGACAAGCUAGUCCUUCAACUCACAAUAACUCCAAUAGCCCAUGUUCAUAGAUAUACAAUAACUAGUAGUCAAUGAUUCACCUAUAUUUCAAGGAUAAGCAUACAGAAUCCCAAAUAUCUAGUGUGUAAGAGCUCCCAAUGGCUUCAAGAACCUAGGGUAGUGCUCACACUAGAGAAACUGAUCAGAAACAGUUCAAGGAAGACUAGAGACCAAAUUAAAUAAUGAUGCAAAUAUGCUAUUUGAAAGCAUAUAUAUUAUUUCAAAAAUAUGAGGCUCAAAUUUGGGUAUCAACAACUGCCCCUCUUUACCCGGGAAUGAUGAAAAAGUUGUCGGAUAAAGAAAUGAUGACCAAUUUUGACCGAAUGGGGUGAUUUAAAAAAAUAUAGGUUGCACUAUGGCCUUUGAGCUUCCUACAUAUCCCUGUUUUUAUAGGAAUCAGGCCAUGUGUAGUUCUAGACCCAAUGGUGAACGAAUUCGAUGGUGUUGUUAUAGGAAUGGUCGUGUGUUUCGGAAAGGGUUCUUUUGAGCAGGAUAUUAUCGGAUGAAUUUAUGUGAAGUCACAAAUGUGAACUCGAGAUGUUAUGGAUGUAUCACAUGGUUGAUAUCUGACGGUCAUAGAUUGAAAGCGAGUAAUUGAUAGGAGUCGGUUACGUUUGAAGCAAUUGUGAGAUGUGAAUGUUGUAAAAUGGAAAUCAGAGCAAAGAUUGCUCAUGUUUGAAGAACGGUUACCUCCUGGAUUACCUGUAAAACUUAAAACAUGGCGCAUGCAAAUAUAUAUGGGUUAUUGCGAGAGUUUAAAUAUGACACAAAUUCCCUUUGGACCAUGAAGAUCGUCGUUGUACGGUGAGGAUGAUGUCCUUAGACCAUGACGUCCUGGGCCAUAAAUCGUGAGAUAAGGGAUUCGUAGACCAUGAAAUGAUGUUCUUGGGCCAUGAUAAUGGUGCCUCUGAACCAUGAUGCCUUUGAAUAAUGAUGUGCAACAUUGAGAGGUCCUCAGGCCAUGACAUGGUGUCUUCCGGCUAUGAGGAUGAUGCUUUCGGACUAUGACACCUUCAAAAUUUUUGGCUAUGCUUCAGCCCAUGAGAUGCAAAGACAUGAUGCUUGAGAUAACACAAGAUAGAGCUUAGUCCUGUGUAAGGUAGGGGGGGGCAGAGGUUAGCCUAGAGAGAGGAGUAAUGCAAGGUUUUAAACAGCACAACAUUUGUGGUUAUGCAAGGAGAGACAAUGCUUAGUAUCAUUCAAGGGAAGGCAAAGCUUAGCCUUAUGUGAUUAUGGAGGCAAGGCUUAGCCUCAUGCAAGAAGAGGAGACAAUGCUUAGUCUCAUACAAUGGAAGCCAGUUCUUAGCCUUAUGCAAUUAGGGAGGCAGGGCUUAGCCUCAUGCAAGGAGAGGAGACAAUACUUAGUCUCUUGUAGUGGAAGGCAAUGCUUAGCCUUAUGCAAUUAGAGAGGCAUGGCUUAUCCCCAUGGAAGAAGAAAAGACAACGCUUAGUCUCAUGCGGUGGAAGACAGUGCUUAUCCUUAUGCAAUUAGAGAGGCAUGGCUUAGCCUCAUGCAAGAAGAGGAGACAACGCUUAGUCUCAUGCGGUGGAAGGCAAUGCUUAGCCUUAUGUAAUUAGGGAGGCAUGGCUUAUCCCCAUGCAAGAAGAGAAGACAACGCUUAGUCUUAUGCAGUUGAAGAUAGUGCUUAGCCUUAUGCAAUUAGGGAGGCACGACUUAGCCUCAUGCAAGAAGAGGAUACAAUGCUUAGUCUCAUGCGGGGGAAGGAAGUGCUAAGCCUUAUGCAAUUAAGGAGGAAGGGCUUAUCCUCAUGAAAAUAGGAGACAAUGCUUAGUCUCAUGCAAGAACAGAUAAUAAGUAGUCGCAGAGUAUUUUCUUAUUUGGAGACAUGUUUGCGUUUGACAGCCUUGUCAUUAUGAAGAUAGUGAUUUUGAUGUAUGUAUACUUGCAAACAUUCAUGUUGUGUUCAUUGUGCCUGUAUCCAAAGAAAUAUCAUGAGUUUUGCGGGGGAGAUUGGUUCAUUUCUUCAUAUGUUUGCUUUGAUUUGCCUCGCUUCGGAGGUCCUAUUCGAGUUACCCUGGGUAACAUCUCGCUUCCAUAGAGAUAAAGUUUCCAAAAAAUAUGCAUGCAUUUGAUAAAAUAGAGUUAUUUGAAAACAUAGUGGCAUGUAAUAUCACGUAAAUUAGAUGAACUAAUGAUUGUGACACUUUUAGAGACAUUGCAAUUUGUUUGCAUUAGAAUUUUGAGGGUCCUCCUCAAAAUUCUUCCCCAGUUUAGUAAGCAAUUCUUCGGUUGUUCUGCAUGUGACGAAGUUUGUUGGAUUUACUCCAGAAUGCUUCUCAAAAUUCUGCCCCAGUUACUUAACUGAUUCUCUGACUGUCUCACAUAUGAUCACUUUGGCUGGACUUGCUCCGGGAUUUUGAGGGUCCUCCUUAAAAUUUUGCCCCAGUUUUUGGUUGUAGGGAAAAUGAAAAUUUUAUUGAGAUGUGAUCGAACCCACAGGGCUGGCUACAUAUCCCCUCUUAAACGGGAAUCAAGUCAAGCGUAGUUUAAUUAUAUCAAAGUAAAUGUAAAUAAUUUAAAUGUAGUAUCUCUUGACUGUGUCUGAAUUGAUAGGCUUUGGCCAAACUUCUCCGUCCAUUUCUACAAGUAUGAGUGUUCCUUUUGUUAGUACCCUGUGAACCAUGUAGGGUCCUUGCCAAAUGGGUGAAAACUUUCCUUUGGCUUCAUCUUGAUGUAGGAAGAUUCGUUUCAAUACCAGCUACCCUGGUGUGAACUGUCUAGGUUUGACCCUUUCGUUGAAAGCUCUGGACAUUCUAUUCUGAUAAAGUUGACCAUGACAUACUGCAUUCAUUCUUUUUCCAUCGAUAAGAGACAAUUUUUCAUAGCGACUCCUUAUACAUUCUGCAUCACUAAGUUCUGCUUCCUAUAUAAUUCUAAAAGAAGGGAUCUCGACCUCGGCGGGAACGACAACUUUAUUACCGUACACCAGCAUGUAGGGAGUUGCUCCGGUUGAUGUGCGAACUAUGGUACGAUAUCCCAAUAAAGAAAAUGGUAAUUUCUCGUACCAUUGCUUGUGGUUGUCUACCAUUUUCCUCAGAAUUUUCUUGAUGUUUUUGUUGGCGGCUUCCACGGCUCUAUUAAUUUGAGGUCUAUAUGUUGUGGAAUUCUUAUGCAUGAUCUUGAAGUUUUCACACAUAGCUUUCAUUAAAUCGCUAUUGAGGCUGGCGGCAUUGUCGGUAAUGAAAGAUUUGGGUAACCCAAAUCAACAAAUAAUACAAUCUCUGACAAAAUCUGCGACGACUUUCUUGGUUAUAGCCUUGUAAGAUGCAUCCUUAACCCAUUUUGUGAAGUAGUCUAUGGCCACCAAAAUGAACAUGUGCCCAUUUGAAGCAGCAGGCUCGAUCAGACCGAUGACAUCCAUUCCCAAAGAGGCAAAAGGCCAAGGUGCACUUGUUGCAUUGAGUUCAUUUGGUGGUACUCGCAUCAUAUCUGCAUGUACCUAACACCGGUUAUUCUUCUUUUGCCAAGUAUUCCUUGAUAUCGUGAAACCAUGGAUUUUUGUCUGUUUCUUCUUCAACAUGAGCACAAUAAGCUGGCUGACUAUGGAUCCUUACUAGAAUGGGGUUCUUGGAACAUGUUUGAAUUCUAUCUUCGUGAACCUAUUCAUAAACUCUUGCAUAUGAUAUAGAUAUGGUAGUAUCUUAGUAUUCUUUGUAGCCCAUUCUCAUUGAACCUGAUGUACCAGAAGAUCUGAAUCACUAAUUACCAGCAACUCUUGUAUAUUCAUGUUGAUGGCCAAAUUGAGCCAUAUGAUGCAAGCCUCAUAUUCUGCCAUAUUGUCGGUGCAUGGAAACGUGAGCUUCGCGAAUACCGGAUAAUGUUGACAUGUCUCUAACACCAAAACUGCUCCAAUACCUACUCUUCUGAAAUUUGCAGCUCCGUCGAAGAACAUUCUUCAACCGUCACAGGCUUCGGUAAUACCUUCUCCUACAAACGACAUUUUUUCAUCGGGAAAAUAUGUUUUCAACGAUUCUAAUUCCCCUCCCAUAGGAUUUUCUACAAGAUGAUCUGCUAGUGCUUGUCCUUGGCUGCCGUCUAAGCCACAUAGACGAUAUCAAACUCACUCAACAAUAUCUGCCAUUUGGCUAGCUUCCCUAUAGGCAUUGGUUUCUGAAAGAUGUAUUUCAGAGGAUCCAUCCUUGAUAUGAGGUAUGUAGUGUAGGCAUAGAAGUAGUGCCUCAAUUUCUGAGCUAUCCACGUUAGGGUGCAGCAGGUGCGUUCUAGCAAAGAAUACCAUGCAUUAUAGGGUGUGAACUUCUUACUCAUAUAGUAUAUGGCCCGUUCCUUUCUUCCCGUCUCGUCAUGUUGUCCCAAGACACAACCGAAAGCUCCAUCUAGUACGGAAAAAUAGAGUAGCAGAGGUCUACCAUGUUCCGGCGGGACCAAGACUGGUGGCGUGGAUAUGUAUUCCUUGAUUCUGUCGAAAGCUUUCUGACAUUCUUUAGUCCAUUUUGUUGAAGCAUCUUUCUUCAGUAUUUUGAAAAUUGGUUCACAGUUCAUGGUCGACUGUGCUAUAAAUCAACUGAUGUAAUUAAAACGCCCCAAGAAGCUCAUCAUAUCUUUCUUGGUCUUUGGAGGUGGAAAAUCCCUUAUUGCUAUGACCUUUGAAGGCUCUAAUUCAAUCCCCCGGCGACCGACGAUGAAAACUAGCAAUUUUCCAGUAGGGACUCCGAAGGCACACUUUGCAGGAUUCAGUUUCCGAUUGUACCUUCGAAGCCGAUUAUAGAAUUUCCUUAAAUAUAUUGUAUUGUCUGCAAUUCUUCUGGAUUUGAUGAUGACGUCAUCUACGUACACCUCUAUUUCUAUAUGAAUCAUGUCAUGGAAAAUGGUCGUCAUGGCUCUCAUUUGAUGAUGACGUCAUCCACGUACACCCGAGGACCUUUUUCUCUUUUCCGGCAUAACCCGACGACUUUCCCAGCAUAAACCGAGGGCUUCCCCGGCAUAACCCGAGGACCUUUUCUGGCAUAACCCAAUGUCCUUUCCCGGCAUAACCCGUGGACCUCCCCGUUAUAAACUAAGGACCUUUUUCUUUUCCGGCAUAACCCGAUGACUUUUCUGGCAUAACCCGAGGACCUUUUUCCUCACCGGCAUAACUCGAGAACCUUUUUCUCUUUUUCGGCAUAACCCGACCAUUUUUCCAGCAUAACCUGACAAUCUUUCCAAUUUAGGGCCCCCAAUCCCUAGUUGAUUUUAUUAUAGAUAUAGGGCUCCACUCCCUAAUCUCUUUUUCCCAAGGAUACACCAUCCUGAUUUUAAUUGCUUUCAAUAAAGAAAUUGUUUAGAUUUUGUUACAAUAACUCACGAAAUUUUCCUAGUGAAAACUGGGGCAGAAAAAUUUCGUUCGUUUGUUUGUUUUGGUGCCUGAGUAGGCUUUUACCUUGAGGCACAAGUUUCGAGGUGACCAAAAGAAGAAGUCUCGAUUGAAAUAAAAGAAAAGAAAAGCAAGAAAAGAAGUGAACUCUAAGUGUAGAAGCGGAGAAAAGAUGUGGACUUCUCAAGACAUGAUUGAAGUCACAAGCUUUGCAUGUCCCGCCUUCAUCCGAAGAGAUGAAGAAAAAUGUACUAGCGUUCACAGCUAACGAGCAUCAAGAUUCAGAUCGGAGUCUGCAGGAAGAAUCAGCCAAGACUCAAGAUCAAGCUUCAGAAGAUUUAUAGAUAGGAAUCUUGUAACUCGUAGCUGAUAGGUUUAGUUAGUCCUUUUCAUUUUGAUAUAAUAAUAGGAGCGCAGACUGGAGCCUCGAUGGAACCUCACUCGACUCUCGAACUCAUCACUCCAUCAUCCUUCUAGAACUACACCGACCUGAUUUCUUCAUAGCCAAGGAUAUGUAGGAAACCUCCGAAGCAAGGUUCGGUCAAACGUUUUCAAAAUGCUUUCAAAUGGAGUUUCAAACGGGCAAAAAUUGCUCGUAAUUGCUCACUUUAUCUUUGCCCAAAAACUCUUCAUGUUUCCGAGCAAAGAGGGGCAGCUGUGAGCACAUAAUUUUUGCCCUACAUGAAAAUAACUCCCAAAAAUAAACCAAAAAUAAUUUUUAAGGGAUUUUAGAAAUUUUCUUUAUUUAGUUGCAUUUAAUGCAUUUUUAAUAUUUUAAAAUCAUAGAAAAAUUAUAAAAAUGUCACAUUUUAAUUUCAUGUCAUCUUUGGUCCAAUUUGUAUGUAGGAAUUAAUUUUAUUAAGAAAAAUCACAAAAAUGGUCAUUUUUACAUAUUUAGCUUUUAGUCUUUAGAAGGUAGUGUUUUUAUUUAGUUUUAAGUCAAUUAGUUAUUUUAAUAGAUAAACAAUUUUAACUUUUAUAAAUUAGAUUGAUUUAGGAUUUUAUUAGAUUUUAAAAUUAGAGAAAAAAAAUGAAAAAAAUAUAUUUUUGAUUUAGUCUUCCUAUCCCAAAGUUAAUUAGCCCAAAUUUAUGACCCAAAACUUUUUAAGCCAAAACAUUGAGCCCAUACCCACUCCUAAAUUGACCUAACCUAAUUCCUACCCUUAUAAAAUAAUCCCUAACUCCAAAAAUAAAAAAAGAGACAUAGACUACACAAAUAGAACGACAGCCUAUCUUCUUCAAAAACAACAAAAAUUCCCAAUUCCAAAAGAAGAAAAAAAAACGGCAGCCAUGAAUCUUUGAAUCUCCCAUAUCUAAAUUUUAAGAAAAUGGUAGCACCCUUAAUUCAAGAGAGUCGACGGCCAUGACAUGUCAACUUUAGUAACAAAGUCUCAUCUAUUAAUUUGAUUCUUAAAAUAUUUUAAGAGAUUUUCUUUCUGGUAAUUUUCUUUGGAUCUUCGAAAAGCAAUGAGAGAAGAAGAUAGAAGAGAAAUAAUUCAUUCACUGUGAGAAGAAGACAAAGAAGAAAUAAUUCAGAAGCUGAUUGAAAUAGUAAAUGAAAUAUCAAGCAUUAAUGAGUUCAGAAAUUCAGUGAGAACAGAGGAAGUGAACGGACGGGAUUUUUCUCGUUCUGAUUUCGGAUUCGAAUACUUUUGAUUUUCAUGUCGAAUUAUGGCUUCUUUUGACUUUCGAUUUGGAUUCCUAUCUGAGGUGUUAGUCGAGGUCGAUUUCAUUGUUUCAAGUCCCUAUAGCGAUUUGUAGUUGUUUUCUUUCAAAUUUUCAUUGCCGGAUUCAUGUGUACAUGCUGAUUUUCACAUAGUGACAGAGUUGGCUUUAAUAGCCACGGUUUCAUUCUUUUUGCUUGUUAACUGCUGAAUAUUUUGAGAAAUCGAAACGUCCAUUUCAGUGAUUCUUGUACAACCAGGUAUUUAUUUUGUAUUUAAAGUAUUCAUAUGUUAGAUGUAAUCUGUUGCUUAUGGUGCUUAUUUGAUUUAGAGUUUUUUUCUUGUUUAA
rnacentral:lncRNA from 1 species